GCCUGCAUGGAUCAGUUGGUAGAUCGCCUUCUGUGAUUGAAGUUGAUGAACUGAUAUAUGAAGGAGGCGGAGGUUCGAACCCUCCUGCGGGCA